GAGAAGGCUCCAUUAACGGAGAAUCGAGAGGUGUAGAGAUGAAUGAUGGUGAAAAAACGAUGGUGCUUGCCGGAAAACAUUUUCCCCCUUUUUCGGUACCUCCGGCGUCCUUUUUUCUCCCGCGGAUGCAUCUCCGGCGACCUCCUCUAUCUCUAGAUCUCUUAUCAUGUUAUUCGCGACGGAGGUGUCGCUAUUGCUAUUGCUAUCGCAACGUCUUUUGCCCUAGCUUUAUGAAGAAGAAGAGGGACAAUUUUGAUGAUAAUCUAUGGUGCUGAUCAUGGAGGGAUUUUUAUAGCAUUUUGAGGGCUUAGUAACACCCUCAUACUCUCAGAGUCUG